rnacentral:lncRNA from 1 species
ACAAGGCUACUCCUGUGAGCCUCUUCAGAUAUGUAAUGUUGAGUACACUUAGGAUGCGACCCCUUUUUUGCGGAGUGCAAGUACUCUGAUAUUAGGGUAGUCAAACUCUUCAGGCGAGUAGACUCUUCAGAACUUCAUCAUCUGGAGCUUACCUUUGCAACCUCUCUGGGUUGUUUGGGUGUUGUGCUCUGAAGACCUGGAACUGCAAACUUGUUUCAUUACAAGCCGC